rnacentral:rRNA from 1 species
CGGCAUGAUCUAGUAUAAGCAAUUAUACCGUGAAACUGCGAAUGGCUCAUUAAAUCAGUUAUCGUUUAUUUGAUAGUACCUUACUACUUGGAUAACCGUGGUAAUUCUAGAGCUAAUACAUGCUAAAAACCCCAACUUCGGGAGGGGUGUAUUUAUUAGAUAAAAAACCAAUGCCCUUCGGGGCUCCUUGGUGAUUCAUAAUAACUUAACGGAUCGCAUGGCCUUGCGCCGGCGACGGUUCAUUCAAAUUUCUGCCCUAUCAACUUUCGAUGGUAAGGUAUUGGCUUACCAUGGUUUCAACGGGUAACGGGGAAUUAGGGUUCGAUUCCGGAGAGGGAGCCUGAGAAACGGCUACCACAUCCAAGGAAGGCAGCAGGCGCGCAAAUUACCCAAUCCCGACACGGGGAGGUAGUGACAAUAAAUACUGAUACAGGGCUCUUUUGGGUCUUGUAAUCGGAAUGAGUACAAUUUAAACCCCUUAACGAGGAACAAUUGGAGGGCAAGUCUGGUGCCAGCAGCCGCGGUAAUUCCAGCUCCAAUAGCGUAUAUUAAAGUUGUUGCAGUUAAAAAGCUCGUAGUUGAACCUUGGGCCUGGCUGGCCGGUCCGCCUCACCGCGUGUACUGGUCCGGCCGGGCCUUUCCUUCUGGAGAUCCUCAUGCCCUUCACUGGGUGUGUUGGGGAACCAGGACUUUUACUGUGAACAAAUUAGAGUGUUCAAAGCAGGCCUUUGCUCGAAUACAUUAGCAUGGAAUAAUAGAAUAGGACGUGCGGUCCUAUUUUGUUGGUUUCUAGGACCGCCGUAAUGAUUAAUAGGGAUAGUCGGGGGCAUCAGUAUUCAAUUGUCAGAGGUGAAAUUCUUGGAUUUAUUGAAGACUAACUACUGCGAAAGCAUUUGCCAAGGAUGUUUUCAUUAAUCAGUGAACGAAAGUUAGGGGAUCGAAGACGAUCAGAUACCGUCGUAGUCUUAACCGUAAACUAUGCCGACUAGGGAUCGGGCGAUGUUUCUAUCUUGACUCGCUCGGCACCUUACGAGAAAUCAAAGUUUUGGG